rnacentral:lncRNA from 1 species
AUGGCAUCUGAAAGGUGUGUCCCAAGGGCUUUGCUAAGACCUGAGCAAAGUUUUCUGCAUUUCCAAGAGUUCUGCUGGCUUGAACCAAGAGCUGGAAUGUGCUCAAGCUCCAUGACACUGCCUAGAGCAGAGGGGAAAAUCAGAAUAAAUUCCCAGUCUUGUAUUUCCACCACAAGCCAUUAGGACAGUUCUUGCCUCUAAAAACCCCAAAGCCCAGCUGAGCUCAGAGGCUGCAGCUGCAGCCCCAGCAGUGAGGAAGCCCUGGGAGCAUCACUGCCCUCUCUUCUUGCCUCUUUCUUCCCCCUAAAACUUCAGCUUCAAGCAAAUAUGGGAUCAGCACGAAGCACUGACUCCAUGCUUCCUUAAAGGUGAUUUGAAACCUGGCAUGGGACUUGGACAUCUGGUCCUCAGUCUUGUGUGUCCAAACUCUUGAGGGUCUCAUCCUCCCCAAAAGCAUGGAUGGAAGCUAAAGACACUGUGCUCCCCAACGAAAAGCAAUUAUUAAUGAUCAUUAAUGGUACUAGGAAACAUUAAAUAUUCAAACAGUGCUAGAGCUCCACAUUUUCACAAGUCCUUAAGUCAUUAAAGCAUCCGGGUUCCUCUGGCUUUUCAAUGGUUUGGGCAUUUAAGUUGCCCAAUAAUAUCCAAAGUGACAUGCAGAGUUUGUAAAAACAUUAAAGCACAUUCAGACUGGUUUAUCCUGGAAAUUCUCUUGAGGCUGGAAUGAAGAAAUCCUCAAGAUCACUUUGUAUAACAGCAUGGAAGAAUGUCAGUCCAAACUCUGCUAACUCCAUAUACAGGAAAUGCCUCUGCAGAUCAACCUCCAAGAGUUUGGAAGGGAGCAACAAGGCAGAGUUUAGUGCAUUGCUCUGCCAGAUACAAUCCAUUUAAGCAAAUAUAAGGCCUCUUCAAUAUGGGAGAGACUAGAGAUUCUAAAAAGAAAGGAGAAGUUAUUUGGAAAUUUAAGUGAUAUUUUUAAUGCAUGUGAAAUCUUUGAUGUCAAAAAGAUUUCAUUUUUUUGUUGGUAUGUCUUUGGAGCAUUUUGUCUUCAAGAAUAAAUUAUGUUUUUAUCUGUAUCA